GCCCGAUUUAUUAGAAGCUUCCCUCUUCAACCGACUAGUGCCCCUGGAAACCAGCACCCUCAGUAGAACCCCAUUUGUGCAGAACACAAUUGAUGAGUUUCUUCCACCUUUACUUUCCAACCGAAUCUUCCAAUAUCAUCUCCAAUAUUUUCUCCUCUUUCAUAAGAUAUUCUUUCAGCAACUGAUGUUGCUGAGAUACGACGAGGUUGUGUGCAGACUAUUUUACAGGCCUCGCCUUUUCCCCACUUAUGGUCCAAUAAAAAUUGUGGGACCUGUGUAGUCUUUCCACACCCAGUCUCACCAGAAAUAAGAACAACCUGGUGAGAAUCUACAGAGGAUGUAAUGACAUCCC
rnacentral:misc_RNA from 1 species